rnacentral:rRNA from 1 species
AGGAUGAACGCUAGCGGCAGGCUUAACACAUGCAAGUCGAGGGCGAUCGGGAGUAGCAAUACUGCCGGCGACCGGCGCAAGGGUGCGUAACGCGUGAGCAACAUAGCCCGUAUCAGGGGGAUAAUCCAUGGAAACGUGGUCUAAUACCCCAUAGUAAUUAUGUAAGGCAUCUUAUAUAAUUUAAAGCUUUGGUGGAUACGGAUUGGCUCGCGUGACAUUAGCUAGAUGGUAAGGUAACGGCUUACCAUGGCUACGAUGUCUAGGGGUUCUGAGAGGAAGGUCCCCCACACUGGAACUGAGACACGGUCCAGACUCCUACGGGAGGCAGCAGUGAGGAAUAUUGGACAAUGGAUGGAAAUCUGAUCCAGCCAUGCCGCGUGCCAGGAAGACGGCCCUAUGGGUUGUAAACUGCUUUUGUAUGGGAGCAAUAAGGGCUACGCGUAGUCCGAUGAGAGUACCAUACGAAUAAGCACCGGCUAACUCCGUGCCAGCCGCGGC